rnacentral:tRNA from 1 species
GGUGGGAUGGCUCAGUUGGUAAAGUGCUUGUUGCUCAAGCAUGAGGACUUGAGUUCAAUUCCCAGAUCCCACUA